UGAGCACAUACGCUAAUGUUAUAUAGGUACUACUGAGUUAAAUAAAAUGUAACUUAACUAAAAUGUAACUUUCUGUUUAUAAAAAGGAAAAUGAAAAAUUGUAUAAUCAAGUGAAAGAUCUCCAAGAACAAAACAAAAAUGAGGAGUGAAUGUUCAAGGAAAACCAGAGCUUAUUCAGCAAAUUAGUUUCCUUAAAGUGUGAGGACCACAGUGGUGGACGAUAAGGUCAGAGAGGCAGCCAGAGGCCCCUGAGUGUGUCUCACAGUAAAAUCUUGAAGAACCUCAGUAACUCUUCUGAAAUGGCAUCCACAGAAGGUCACAAAGAAGAUUUAGCAAUGAAACGAUGCAGCCAAAACCCAUAAUAAUACAGGGCUUUAUGGAUGGAUUCAUUUUCUUGGAAUAUCAAGAAAGAGAAAACCGGUUUAUUGGAAGACCUGAAAAGACUGAAGCAAGACAAGCAAGCUCUUGACGCAGACUUGGGAAAAGUGAAGAGAGAGAGACCAAGCCAGAGAGCAGCAGCAAUAACUGCAAGAUUGAAGAAACUCAAAGAUUAUUUUGAAUUCAUGGCAUUGUGUGCGCAGCAGUUUGCAGUCCUCCCAGCCAGACCUGGAUCUUCCAGGGCCUGGUCACCCUUUUUAUCCCUGGGCCUGAAAUGUAACCUCUCAAGUGUUUGACAAAUGAACAGACAACACCGUGCUAUGUUUGUAGAAGACACGAGGGUGAAUAUGGCAUUCCUCACUGGGAAAAACAAAGGAGGGGUAAGCUAAAAAUGCAGAAAAGUUUAAUACUAAAAAAAUUAGAAAUAAACAAGAAGGUGCUAGUAAGGGUUUCAGGGAGAAGAAGCAUUUGAGCUGGGUCCUGGCAGGUGGAGGGCCUCGGGAGGGGAGGAGGGAGGCCGCGCAGCUGUGUCUCAUGGGCGUGUCACUGAGCGCACCUGUCCUGGGCCAGAGGAGGGCAGGGCACAGGGCCGGAAAGGUCGAUCGAAGGAGCCCUUGUUUGCCAAAGGAAGGGUCUUUUCUCUGUGAUUGUAUGAUCUUCAGUGUAAGACACAUACAAGUAAAAUCCACUAACCUGUUUGUAAGAAAUGUACUUCCCUCAUCUAUAAAGUAGAAUAAUAAUCAUCACUCCCAUCAUGUAUUUGUUGUGUUAAAUAAAAUCAUACAAACUGUGAGAAUUCCGACUGUGAACACAGCCUUCUUUUACUAACACACUAGACUGUACACAACCUUCCUACAUCCUUUUUUUUUUUUUGCCUCUUAUUUUUUCAUAAUACUUUCAUUAGAUAGGCAUUGGUUUUCAUGUGAAAU
rnacentral:lncRNA from 1 species